rnacentral:misc_RNA from 1 species
GAUCUUGGUGGGUUCUUCCUUAAGGUAACAAUUAUUUUAAAUUCAAUUGGAUCUUUUCUAUUGUGUGCUUUCGAAUUGACUAAUGCAUUAAGAAUGGUUCAAUUCACGUAGGUUUUUGUUUUCCCUUCUGCACUUUAUAGUUUGUAUUCAAGCGUGGGAACUUGAAACUGUUCAAUUCAAAUGAGUCAUGCGUUUCUUACUUUUUUUUUCUUUGUUUGGAGCCCUAUUUAAUUCACUUUGUCUCUUAUCUGCUUUGUUUCCAAUUUAAUCAUCAAAGAAAUGUUGUUUCCUGUGCUUGUGUUUGAUAGAAAGCUUCAUUUCAUUGAUUUGUGUUUUGUUAACUGUCUAAAAAAUUUACAAUUUUUGGAUGGAAUUAAAGAUCGCCCAAAUCAUUGGAAAG